GCAGCGGUGGAGGAGGAGGAUGAGUUAGCCAACACAGUUUUUAUAUAUAUAUAUUUUAUUUAUUUUUUUAAUUGGGGUAGUCCCCAAAAUAUUGGGACAUAUAAGAAAAAACAACUCUGUUCCGCAGAAUAGCUGUUGACAUUAUAGUUGCGCAGGAACUUUGUUGACUCUAGAGAACAUCAGGCAAAUCGAACAUUCUCGUGGCGGCGACUUUGCAUGCGGAUGUCAUCCAUUUCAACUUUCGAUGCCAGUUACCACGGGUAAUGGGGAAUCAGGGUUCCAUUCCAUACAGGGACCCUGAGAAACGGCUACCACAUGCAAAGAAGGCAGC